rnacentral:rRNA from 1 species
UGGGGAAUAUUGCACAAUGGGCGCAAGCCUGAUGCAGCCAUGCCGCGUGUAUGAAGAAGGCCUUCGGGUUGUAAAGUACUUUCAGCGAGGAGGAAGGCGUUGUGGUUAAUAACCGCAACGAUUGACGUUACUCGCAGAAGAAGCACCGGCUAACUCCGUGCCAGCAGCCGCGGUAAUACGGAGGGUGCAAGCGUUAAUCGGAAUUACUGGGCGUAAAGCGCACGCAGGCGGUCUGUCAAGUCGGAUGUGAAAUCCCCGGGCUCAACCUGGGAACUGCAUCCGAAACUGGCAGGCUAGAGUCUUGUAGAGGGGGGUAGAAUUCCAGGUGUAGCGGUGAAAUGCGUAGAGAUCUGGAGGAAUACCGGUGGCGAAGGCGGCCCCCUGGACAAAGACUGACGCUCAGGUGCGAAUGCGUGGGGAGCAAACA